UACGGAGGAUGCAAGCGUUAUCCGGAAUGAUUGGGCGUAAAGCGUCCGCAGGUGGCUAUGUAAGUCUGCUGUUAAAGAGUGAGGCUCAACCUCAUAAGAGCAGUGGAAACUACAUGGCUAGAGUGCGUUCGGGGCAGAGGGAAUUCCUGGUGUAGCGGUGAAAUGCGUAGAGAUCAGGAAGAACACCGGUGGCGAAAGCGCUCUGCUAGGCCGCAACUGACACUGAGGGACGAAAGCUAGGGGAGCGAAAGGG
rnacentral:rRNA from 1 species